GUUCUUCCAAUCUCAAACUGGGUUUCCCCAGUUGAGAUUGAGGGGGAGUAUUAAGGGUACAAGUCAGCAAUACAAUUAGAAAUAUAUUUAGCAAAUUUGUUAGUAUUUGGUUAGAGUUGUUAGGUUUACUAGUAUAAAAACAAAGUGUGUAAUCUUCAUUCUUUCAGUCAAUACAAAUCAUAUUUCUCUCUCUACAACCUCUGUGUUCAUCCUUCUGUUCAUUGUUUCUUCUUAAUUUUCUCUUUAAUUCCCAAACAUUUCAAUGUAGUUAACAAAAAUGUAUUGUACUCCUUGUACAAAUUUUUUUCUGCUAGUAUUUUGGGUGCUAUUAUUGGCACUCUAAAAUUGUCAUUCUACACUAUGACAAAAAAAAUUUAAUGUCUAAAUAAAUUAGAAGUCCAAGAUGAUCUUCAUGGAGUGUUCAUAACAACUCACAAACAAAUGUCUACUGAAAAACGAUGUUAGGCAAGUGGUCGAUUGUCAUGGUGAGGUUAGGGUUUUUCUCUUCAACCCACUAUGUCCCAAGUUUGACCAUCCCCCUCCCCCUCCCCCUUCACCUUGGUCAGCUUAGAGUAGAAAUAUCGUUUAUAUUAAAAAAUGAUGUUAUUAGUUGGAACAUGGUUAUAUUUAUUAUUAUUGUAUCAAAGAAAUGCUCAAGGACUCUCUCAAAAGUCGUACUCUUUGCCACCUCAUGUUUU
rnacentral:lncRNA from 1 species